rnacentral:rRNA from 1 species
UACGGUGGUUUUAGCGGUGGGGGAACGCCCGGUCCCUUUCCGAACCCGGAAGCUAAGCCUGCCAGCGCCGAUGGUACUGCACUUUAGUCAGUGUGGGAGAGUAGGACACUGCCGUAA